rnacentral:rRNA from 4 species
ACGGGUGAGUAAUGCCUAGGAAUCUGCCUGGUAGUGGGGGAUAACGUUCGGAAACGGACGCUAAUACCGCAUACGUCCUACGGGAGAAAGCAGGGGACCUUCGGGCCUUGCGCUAUCAGAUGAGCCUAGGUCGGAUUAGCUAGUUGGUGAGGUAAUGGCUCACCAAGGCGACGAUCCGUAACUGGUCUGAGAGGAUGAUCAGUCACACUGGAACUGAGACACGGUCCAGACUCCUACGGGAGGCAGCAGUGGGGAAUAUUGGACAAUGGGCGAAAGCCUGAUCCAGCCAUGCCGCGUGUGUGAAGAAGGUCUUCGGAUUGUAAAGCACUUUAAGUUGGGAGGAAGGGCAGUUACCUAAUACGUGAUUGUUUUGACGUUACCGACAGAAUAAGCACCGGCUAACUCUGUGCCAGCAGCCGCGGUAAUACAGAGGGUGCAAGCGUUAAUCGGAAUUACUGGGCGUAAAGCGCGCGUAGGUGGUUUGUUAAGUUGGAUGUGAAAUCCCCGGGCUCAACCUGGGAACUGCAUUCAAAACUGACUGACUAGAGUAUGGUAGAGGGUGGUGGAAUUUCCUGUGUAGCGGU